rnacentral:rRNA from 1 species
AACUACGAGCACAAACGCUUAAAACUCUAAGGACUUGGCGGUGCCCCAAACCCACCUAGAGGAGCCUGUUCUAUAAUCGAUAAUCCACGAUUCACCCAACCAUCCUUUGCCAACACAGCCUACAUACCGCCAUCUUCAGCAAACAA